UAUGACUCAUGUGAAGGCCUGAUAGUAAACAUUCAAUGAGAAACAAACCCACGACACAUCGGACACAUAUGCAUACAAAUAUUAAUACCACGACCUUUCUGGAUAGCACGCUUGGCUGUGUCACAGGUGGUCAAAGCUUUGUUUGGAUGAGUUUUAAUUGACCAUCCGUCUGUUCUCUCUUCACCUCAUGACACCUGCAGAGGAUCACUCCGUAAACAAAAGCUAAUCACUGAUUAGACUCAUUAAACAAACGCAGUCUCACGUUUUUAAGGAAUUAAAAAGAGACAAACUAAGGGAGAGAAUGUUCAAUACAUUACUUGUUGUUUUCAUGGGACUCAUUGUUUGUGGUAGCUGCCAGGAUAAUAA
rnacentral:sRNA from 1 species